AUGGAGACCGUCGUGAAGAAACCGGAGCGCCACUUCGUGCUGGUCCACGGCCUCUGCCACGGCGCGUGGUGCUGGUACAGGCUGGCCACCAUCCUGCGCUCCGCCGGCCACCGCGUCACGGCGCCCGACCUUGCCGCGUGCGGCGCCAGCCCGGUGCGCGUCGACGAGGUGCGCUCGUUCGCCGAGUACAGCCGGCCGCUAACCGACGCCGUGGCCGCGGUGCCGCCGGGCGAGAAAGUGGUGCUCGUCGGCCACAGCUACGGCGGCUACAGCCUCGCGCUGGCCAUGGAGGCGCACCCGGACAAGGUGGCUGUCGCCGUCUUCGUCGCCGCGGCCAUGCCGGCCGCCGGCUGCCCCAUGUCACAUCUACUCUCGCAGGUACCGACUGAACUUCUAGUACUGACGUGA
rnacentral:rRNA from 1 species